rnacentral:rRNA from 1 species
AGAGUUUGAUCCUGGCUCAGGAUGAACGCUAGCUACAGGCUUAACACAUGCAAGUCGAGGGGAAACGAUAUUGGAAGCUUGCUUCCGAUAGGCGUCGACCGGCGCACGGGUGAGUAACGCGUAUCCAACCUGCCCACCACUUGGGGAUAACCUUGCGAAAGUAAGACUAAUACCCAAUGAUAUCUCUAGAAGACAUCUGAAAGAGAUUAAAGAUUUAUCGGUGAUGGAUGGGGAUGCGUCUGAUUAGCUUGUUGGCGGGAUAACGGCCACCAAGGCGACGAUCAGGUAGGGGUUCUGGAGAGGAACGGUCCCCCACGAUUGGAACUGAGACACGGUCCAAACUCCUACGGGAGGCA